rnacentral:tRNA from 1 species
AAGCGCUCACUACAAUUUAGUAGAACUUUUGCUUGGAAGGCAAACAUAAUAAUUUUACUAUAAACGCUUA